rnacentral:lncRNA from 1 species
GGCACCGGCUCCCCGACCCCGGGAGCGCAGCCCGGCCUUUGCAGGGUGGGCGGCUCCUGGGUCACCAUCUCAGGGGCUGGAAGGCUUUGGCCUUGGAGUCGGUUCGGCUGCUUUGCUGCAGGCCUUGGCGGCCCUCGCUUUCCAAUUGACCUUGCCCCCACUAAAACAGGGAAUAUUCCCAGAGAGAAAGAGGGAGCCUGCGGGGCCUCCGCUGGUUUGUGGGGAGUCACGUAUCACACGGGGAAACUAGGACACCAGAUGCGACAAAAUCCUACCCAGAGACGUGUCCUUUGCAGAGCGAAUGGGCUGGGGGGGGGGCGUUUUUAAAUGGGGGAGAGGAACCAGCCUGUUUUUGUGGGUUUUAUUUUUUAAUAAAGGGAAAGGAGAAAUCAGGGACAGGGUAUAUUUUAAAUAGUUCUUUCCGUUUCUCCAUGGCCUUUCUCCCAAAGCGAACUAAACUCUCCACCCCUUCCUCAGGAAACGGAAUCUGGAGAAUAACUUGUCUUUCCGGUCGCCCCACAUUUCCCCCCACCCCGGACGAAGCCCGGGGUUUCGAUUUUCCAAAGGGCUGGAGUCUGGCAAGGCAAGGACCGGUGCUCAGGGCGCCCUGGCGUGGAGUGUGGAGGCUGGAUCGCUCCUGGAGAGGCCCAAGCCAGCGGCUGCUAGAAAAGGACUUCGGAAAGAAAUCAGCCGAACUCUCUCAUCCAGGGGGCAAGAGAGGAGGCACAGGGGUCCCUGGACCCCCGGGAAUCCUGGAAGAAAAUGUGUAAUGUGUGACUUGUUUGCAGGGCCAGCCAGGGGGAGAGUAGAAAGGGUUUUGUGUUUUCAUUUGCAGGGGUCGCCGUGGGCUCGGCGCAGGGGUUGGCCGGGGCAAGGUUAGGCUGUUUAGGCCCCAGACGAGACUUGGGACAGCCCGGGCGGCACUCAAUCCAGGGAGCCAUUUGUCCCACCGCCCACCCCGCGGGAAACGGCGGAGACUUUAUGGCCACUCUGUUUGUAUUAUCUGCAUAAGUCUUUCCCCACCAGUUUGAUCGAAACUGUUCGCUUUUACGAGGACCCAACGAAAAUUCCCCGUCAUAUUUAUCAGCCGGGGAUAAAAAUUUAGUAUGGGAACUGAUAUUUCCUCAUUUAUGGGGCGAUGAAAUUAAAGACCAAAGCAAUUGAGAAUUAUAUGGCUUUGGGGGGGUUCCCUCCCCCCCUCUUUCACAUCUCCUUUAUUUUCCCGCCCGGUGUGCCUGUCCCUGGAGUUUGGCGUCCCAGUCUCCUGCCCUUGCCCCCUGUUUGGGGGUCUGCUGGGCCCUCUCCUUCACACCCAGGUACCGCUUGGCCAACCUUAGCUUUUCCUAGUUUUUCUCUCGGUGUCCGUAGCUGGGGGCCUCCCGGAGCCUCUGCCCCGGCCACACUGGGAUCUGGCUGGGGUGGUGGAGGGUUGCCAAGAGCUUCGCAGGGGAAGAAUGGGAGCCCAGCCUGGGAGGGGGCGAGGAAGAGGGUGGGGGUGAAGAGGACAAACUCCAGAUUACCUCUCAAAAACAGCAAGCCCCAAGACUUAACCUGGGGAACUAACGGGAGAGGAGCGGAGUCACUCCGCCUCCUCCGGACCGGCUCUCCCUACCAGCCCGACACCCACCCCAAACUCACUCCUUACCUCAGCCAUGGGAGGGGUUGGAGUCGCUUCAGAAUUCUUGCCAUUAUUAAUGGAAAUUAUCCCCCCCCCCCCCCGGGAGAAGGAGCCUCCCGCCUCGGCUCUCACCUCCUCACAAGAACGAAUAGUGUUUAAAGUUGAAAUAAUUAAAAGUAUGAUAAACACGGCCCAUUAAUGAAAAAAGAAAUCAAAUUCAUCAGCCUAAGUGGGACCCCCGGUGGGACAAACGUUUGCCUCUAAUUACGCAGGAUAAACGCAAACCCGGAGCUGUUAAACGAGACCCCGAGCGGACGCAGACUUGAAUAACUUGUUGGGUUUUUGCAGACUUUGGGAUUCUGCCCCAGUGGAGGCGAAAGAAAGGAAAGUGUGAGGGUGAGGAUGGGGGCGAGGGGGGCAUUUGAGCGGGUCCAAGGAGGUACAGUCGGAUGUGGGUCCCAGCCCUGCCCCCUUGGGCUCCGUCUUUUCCGAGGCCACGAGCAAAGGCCGUUUCCGUCCUAUUGUCCGGGCCUGGCGUUCAAAGGCACUCGGGCUGCCACGGCCAAGCCGCUGCCGGCACCCACCGGCCCUACCCCGCAGAGCCAAGACCCUCAGGCCUGCGCCCCUGGGGAACUGGAUUGGGGUCCAGAGAAGUCUGCGCUGCUGCAUUCACCCUGUUAAACCAUUUUCCCAACUUUCCGGGAGGGCUGAGAGACCUGUGCCUAUGUCUGACGCCGGGGCUCCCCUUCUUGCCUCAAUUUGGGGAUGUGAAAAUCCAAGGGCUGCCGGCCAGACCAGUGCUCAGGCUGUGCCUACUUGUCGACCAAUCCCACCCACCCGGACAACCCUGGCAUUGUGUGCGCCUCUUCCCGGUAGGACAGCAGACCCUGGAAGGGCAGCAGGGGUGGGGGGCUGGGCCUGUGGGACUGGGAGUAAGAGAGCGGACAAGGGUGCUCCUUGCUAGCUCCUUGCAUAUUCCAGGAACAUCGGUGGUUCCAGAGGGCAGGCUGAGGGCUGGGGCACUAGGGGUCCCCAUGUGAAAACAGAAGAAGGAAAAUGUAGUGCUCAACGAACAGAAAGGGACCGCGACUGUUUUCCGGGCUCUAGCCCUCCAAGUGCCCCCCAAAAACACCCCGAUUUUUCCAAGAAAAAAUUAGAGUUUCCCAAAGAGGUUCAGGAAACCAUCUGGGAAAUUCCAAAGGUGAAGUGAAAAAAGGAAGAGUGUCUCUCCCUUUGGGGUAAAAUAAUAAAAUAAAAUAAUAAUG